rnacentral:rRNA from 1 species
CCCUAUGGGGUGCAGCAGGCGCGAAAACUUUACACUGCUGGCAACAGCGAUAAGGGAACCUCGAGUGCCAGGUUACAAAUCUGGCUGUCGAGAUGCCUAAAAAGCAUUUCAUAGCAAGGGCCGGGCAAGACCGGUGCCAGCCGCCGCGGUAACACCGGCGGCUCGAGUGGUAACCGUUAUUAUUGGGUCUAAAGGGUCUGUAGCCGGCCGGAUAAGUCUCUUGAGAAAUCUGGCAGCUUAACUGUCAGGCUUUCAGGAGAUACUGUCUGGCUCGAGGCCGGGAGGGC